AGUGAACGCUGGCGGUAGGCCUAACACAUGCAAGUCGAACGGCAGCACAGUAAGAGCUUGCUCUUACGGGUGGCGAGUGGCGGACGGGUGAGGAAUACAUCGGAAUCUACUUUUUCGUGGGGGAUAACGUAGGGAAACUUACGCUAAUACCGCAUACGACCUACGGGUGAAAGCAGGGGAUCUUCGGACCUUGCGCGAUUGAACGAGCCGAUGUCGGAUUAGCUAGUUGGCGGGGUAAAGGCCCACCAAGGCGACGAUCCGUAGCUGGUCUGAGAGGAUGAUCAGCCACACUGGAACUGAGACACGGUCCAGACUCCUACGGGAGGCAGCAGUGGGGAAUAUUGGACAAUGGGCGCAAGCCUGAUCCAGCCAUACCGCGUGGGUGAAGAAGGCCUUCGGGUUGUGAAGCCCUUUUGUUGGGAAAGAAAAGCAGCAGGUUGAUACCCCGCUGUUCUGACGGUACCCAAAGAAUAAGCACCGGCUAACUUCGUG
rnacentral:rRNA from 1 species